rnacentral:rRNA from 1 species
GACGAACGCUGGCGGCGCGCCUAACACAUGCAAGUCGAACGGAGAUUACAGGCGGAAGUUUUCGGAUGGAAGCUUGUAAACUUAGUGGCGGACGGGUGAGUAACACGUGAGCAACCUGCCUAUCAGAGGGGGAUAACGAUUGGAAACGAUCGCGAAUACCGCAUGACAUAGCGGAAUCGCAUGGUUCUGGUAUCAAAGAUUUUAUCGCUGAUAGAUGGGCUCGCGUCCGGUUAGAUAGUUGGUGGGGUAACGGCCUACCAAGUCGACGAUCGGUAGCCGGACUGAGAGGUCGAACGGCCACAUUGGGACUGAGACACGGCCCAGACUCCUACGGGAGGCAGCAGUGGGGGAUAUUGCACAAUGGGGGAAACCCUGAUGCAGCGACGCCGCGUGGGGGAAGACGGUCCUCUGGAUUGUAAACCUCUGUCUUCGGGGACGAAACGAGACGGUACCCGAGGAGGAAGCCACGGCUAACUACGUGCCAGCCGCCGCCGUAA